rnacentral:misc_RNA from 1 species
ACAGAGCGGAAAAAUUCAGCAUUUUCCAAGCUGUAAAAGAACAAAUACAAAAUGUAUGCACACAAAGCCAGACUACAACAGGUAUACGAACAUACAGAGAGACAGAGGAAAAAUAUAUAGUAUAUGAGAACGACGACUACGCGUCUUUUCAUCUGCAAUUCCGCAGAAGGGCGGGCAUCGGCUUGGAAAGCCUUGGACUUGCUCCAAACUGCAUUUUGCUGCUGGUUCCUGAACAAUGCGGGUGGGGUGUGGAUGAUUCACAAGUUGUGCAACGGGUUGGAGCCGGUCGGGGAGAACCUCUUGUCGUCCCUGAAGAAGCCGCCGCCGCCGCCGAAGAAAGCGGAGAAGGAACGGUGGCGGCGCCGUUCGUCCGGGGGCUGGACGACGACGGCUGCCCGCGCGGCGAUGGUGCAGGGAUGACGUUGCCCAGAAGCGAGACCCCCCUGAGCACGAGAGGGAUGAGGGAUACCAGCAGGAGGAUCUUGAAGCACCUCAUCUUGUCUGUCUCUGCACCGUACCGUAUACCGUACCCUGUGAGAGCUUGGCUGCCGCUCCAAGUCCUAGGCGUGGUGGUAGCAAGCCCGAGAGAGCUGAGCCUGAGGGAGGGAGGGAGGGUGUGCAGGUGGUGAGGGAAC